UGGACGCGCGCCUAUAAAGUGGACGCGCAUGAGCCAAGUUCGGUCAUUUCUGGAGUUUGCUGGAACACAAACUGGAGCUCGAGAUCCUGUUUACUGUGGACUAGCUGUGUUUGACGCCCUGUUUUUGUUUCCAUUCAAAAAAAAAGCAUCAUCUAUUGCCUGGAUUUUUGCCUGCAAUUGCUCCUGCUACGUUCGCUUAAUCAACGCAAACAUGAAUAGAAAGACUGUGCCUGUCUCUUUAUCAACCUUAAGACGAAGGACACGUGUUGACGUUCAAAAAAGGCUUCAUCAGAUUCAGACAGACAUUACAGGAAUAGGGGCAGAUGACAGAGUUCUUUCUGAGAACACUGCCCAAUCCUCUUCAGCUGCACAUGCAAUGCCAGAGGUGCACGUUUUUACAGAGGAGGACAUGGAAUUGGAGGCAGAUUUAGAUGACGUGUAUUGGGAUGAAAGUGAUGGGGAUGGGACAUCAGGUUCGGAUUCUGAAAAUGAUGACCCAACAUCACUUUCUGAUAACAUUGCCAACUGGGCAGUGAGUUUUGGCAUUUCCAUGGUUGCCCUAACUGCACUGUUGAGUAUACUCCAUCUAACCCAUCCCAAUCUGCCAAAGGAUGGAAGGACCCUUCUGAAAACAAAAGUCCAAUAUUCUAUUCAGGAGCAGGCUGGGGGUAACUACCAUCAUUUGGCAUCCUUUCCUCCUUGAAGGCCACUCUAAGUAAAUAUGUCGAAACAUUGGCAGAGGGCAUGACAUUGGGGCUGCAGAUUAAUAUAGAUGGACUUCCUUUAUUUAAAAGUUCCACUGUACAGCUGUGGCCCAUCCUUGGCCUACUGGUUACCGUCCCCGUGAAGGAACCUGUUGUCAUUGGGGCGUACUGUGGACCAAAAAAACCUAGUUCGGCCACAGAGUUCUUAUCUGAUUUUGUCACAGAACUACAUGAGCUAGAGGCUGGGUUUUGCUUUGAAGAUAAGAAUCUUAAAAUUGAGCUUCACACAGUAAUCUGUGAUACCCCUGCACGGGCCUUUGUGAAAAAUACUAAAGCCCACAAUGCUUACCAUGGGUGCGAUAAGUGCCUACACCCAGGGCAAUACCACAACCGGCAUAUGUCGUUCCCUGGACCAGAGCACCCCCUUAGAACUGACAUCUCAUUUAACCUGAAGGUUGAUGAAUUACAUCACCACGAAGGGCCACAUCCAUUUGAACGCGUCAAGGUUGGCAUGGUAACGCAGUUUCCCUUAGAUUAUAAGCUUUUAGUGUGUUUGGGCAUUGUAAGGAAACUGCUCCUAACUUGGCUCCGAGGUCCGUUAACCGUAAGACUGCUGGCAUUAAUAGCAGACAGGAUGUCAGGCAAACUCCAGUCCAUGAGGCCCCACGUGCCAAUUGAGUUUGCCAGGAGACCACGGUCUCUUAGGGAGUUGGACCGUUAGAAGGCAACUGAAUUCUGACAGUUCUUACUGUACACUGGCUCUGUGGUACUGGCAGGAUUCCUGGACCGGAACAUGUACUGUAAUUUCAUGCUCCUGUCAACUGCUAUAUCCAUGUUGGUAAGUCCUGAACAUCUCAACCUUGCUGACUAUGCUGGACAAAUGCUAAAAUCUUUUGUCAACCAUUUUGGUGAGCUUUAUGGGACAGACCAGAUUGUGUACAAUGUCCACUGUCUGGUCCACCUGGCAGACGAGGUGAAAACGCAUGGCUGUCUGGACUCCUUUUCAGCGUUCCCAUAUGAGAAUCACCUUGGGAAAAUAAAAAAACUAAUUAGAAAACCUGAGUUCCCUCUACCUCAGCUCAUUCGGCGCCUUUUGGAGGUUACAGCUACCAAAUCAGAUGCUGAUGCAGACAUGUCACUGAAAAGGGAGCAUUUUGUGGGCCCAAUUGUUGUUGGCAUGGAAGUUCAUGCACAAUAUGAGGAAAUGCAAUGUGAAAGGUGGACCGUCAAAUUAUCAACAGGGGACAACAUGUUUCUGGUGGUGGAUAAAGUCUGCCUUAUCAAAAACAUUAUCAAAAAUGAUAAUGGUGUGUACGCUAUUUACACAGAAUUUUCCCGGCAGUCUCCAUUCUAUACCUACCCCUUCAACUCUGACAGAAUGAACAUAUUUUCUGUAAAUGAUCCAUCUGAUGAGCUGAAGUUGGUUGAGGUGUCAGCGCUGCCGUACAGGUAUGGUUUCGUGGCCAUAACCCUCCAUUAAUGAAACAAAAACAAAAAGUUUGAGUUCAAAUCAAAACAAUCAGGAGUUCAAAUCGGUUCAAUUAAUCAGUUUAAAUAAUCAGUUCAAGUUACAAACUCUAAUACUAUAGUUGACUACCGACUUCUAUGACUUCCAGUACUCUGGAUGAAGAAUAGCUGUAAGUAUUACACAAAAGUUGGUAUUAUUCCAUGUAUACACUACACCCAUAAUUUCAAACCCUACUUUACGAUUGAGCUGAAGUUCUGACUAUUAUGACCUGUACUUUUACAUUUCUUAUAGUUCUUACCACCUUGGGGCACCAUUCAGGAUGCCUUUUCAUCUGAUAAAAUUUAUAAUGAACGGGGACAUUGCGGUUGUCCCAAGUGGAUGGUAUGAUGAUGGGAUGGUUUUCUGGCCCAACUAUAAAAACACCGACAGAAUUAAAAGGGCCGCUUUAAAUGAGGAGCAGCAUGAGUCAAACUGGCCAAGAUUUGACGUUUCUGUUGUCCAAACUUGUGGUCCCUUGUAAGAGAGAGACCUGAUACAUCAUCAUCAAUAAUAAUGAUAUUCUGUUCAGCUCUACAGCUAAUUUGAAACUCAUGUUCAUUUUAACAUAUUCAAUUUUAGACCACUACAAAGACUCAUUAAAAAUAAUGCAGCAAUAUGGAAAGGGCUGCGACACCUCAGACCUGCAAUCUGAGGCAGAGAAUGAGGAGCUGCCAGAAAAAAGGAGCAGGAAUCCAGUCCAUCGUCUCGGGGACUCGGAUGAUAGCGAAGAAGACCCGAGAAAUAGUGACCUCGCAUCUCUGGGGUGGGCAAGCCAAUUGCACAGGCAGACUCCACCGUCUCGCCGAGUGCCAGCAAGAGUCGUGAGUACCUGUCAACUCGACUCCUCAACUGGAGAUAACUUUCUAGCACCUCACCAUGGGGAAGGACAUACUCAUAUGCCCUCACCAGCACCUGCAUUAAAUAUGCAGAGAGUUACACAAGGAACGGCAGUCCCUCCUCGACUCCCUCCACCCCCCGCACCACCUCUCAACAUGUGGCAGACACAGUAGCCUGGAUCCAGCCUGGCCUACAGGCCAACAUGGCGAGGGGGGAGAAUGGCUGACAUUUCCUGCUCUGCGGCUGAGGUCCACAUCCUUAGCCUGCUGGAAAAUAUUAAGCACACCCAAGACCAGCUGAUGGCGAAGGUAAACUUCUUAACAAGCAGGUUGACCUCGAACCCGGGGCCAGAAGUUGAAAUGCCGGCCAAUAUCCAGUUUCCACUGACAUGGGUGGAGUCACUUGAGGCAUUUUUAAAUGACCCAUCAAAUGGCCCAGCUCGACAAAGAGUGGUGAGGUUUCUUACUUAAUAUGAAUGGUGCCAAUAGGUUUAUUGAUUGUCCAUGAUUAUGCAAAUAUUCUAUUGAAUCAGCGCUGACAACCAGGCCUGUCCUGAACCACCUUUUCCCAGUGGUAAGAUUAUGUCAGUGAGCCACAGUCGGCCUGGUUUGACAUCGUGUGUAAAGGUAGCAUAGGUCCAUGAGCCAAGAGAACAGGUUCUGUUUUUUUACAUUUCUGGACGCUUUCAACAGGAACAAAAACAUUUGAAAUCCAACUUAAGCUUAAAAAUGUUUACCUGUUUGUUUAAAGAGAUGUCUUUGCCUUUUAGAUUUCUUCUUUGGCCACCAUUGGAGGCCACGAUGUGAAGCGGGUGACCUGGAACAUCCUGGGCAGGAUGUUCACAGAGGAGGUUUCACAUCAGAUACAUUGGAAGGGCGUCAACAACAAAAAGGCCUUUAGCAGGAUGGCAACAAAGACCUUGCUUUUCAGUGCUGUGAGAAAAAACAGGUGACAAGGUCAGCCACGGACGCUGAGGUCACCAAACACGCCAUCAGGUGGUUCAACCUGGCGGGGGAUCGGGCAACGAGACGAGUCCCGCCUCCACCGCCUCAGGAUGAAUAGAAA